rnacentral:rRNA from 1 species
AGAGUUUGAUCCUGGCUCAGAUUGAACGCUGGCGGCAGGCUUAACACAUGCAAGUCGAGCGGUAACAGGGGGUGCUUGCACCCCGCUGACGAGCGGCGGACGGGUGAGUAAUGCUUAGGAAUCUGCCCAGUAGUGGGGGAUAGCCCGGGGAAACCCGGAUUAAUACCGCAUACGCCCUUUUGGGGAAAGCAGGGGAUCUUCGGACCUUGCGCUAUUGGAUGAGCCUAAGUCGGAUUAGCUAGUUGGUGGGGUAAAGGCUCACCAAGGCGACGAUCCGUAGCUGGUCUGAGAGGAUGAUCAGCCACAUCGGGACUGAGACACGGCCCGAACUCCUACGGGAGGCAGCAGAGGGGAAUAUUGGACAAUGGGCGCAAGCCUGAUCCAGCAAUGCCGCGUGUGUGAAGAAGGCCUUCGGGUUGUAAAGCACUUUAAGUUGGGAGGAAAAGCUGGGAGUUAAUAGCUUCUAGUGUUGACGUUACCAACAGAAUAAGCACCGGCUAACUCCGUGCCAGCAGCCGCGGUAAUACGGAGGGUGCAAGCGUUAAUCGGAAUUACUGGGCGUAAAGCGCGCGUAGGCGGUUAUUUAAGUCAGAUGUGAAAGCCCCGGGCUUAACCUGGGAAUGGCAUUUGAGACUGGAUGGCUAGAGUAUGGUAGAGGUGAGUGGAAUUUCAGGUGUAGCGGUGAAAUGCGUAGAGAUCUGAAGGAACAUCAGUGGCGAAGGCGACUCACUGGGCCAUUACUGACGCUGAGGUGCGAAAGCGUGGGUAGCAAACAGGAUUAGAUACCCUGGUAGUCCAUGCCGUAAACGAUGUCUACUAGCCGUUGGGGGACUUGAUCCUUUAGUGGCGCAGCUAACGCAUUAAGUAGACCGCCUGGGGGAGUACGGUCGCAAGACUAAAACUCAAAUGAAUUGACGGGGGGCCCGCACAAACGGGGGGAGCAUGUGGGUUUAAUUUCAAUGCAACCCCGAAGAAACCUUUCCUGGGCCUUGACAUGUCUGGGAAACCUGUAAAGAAUACCGGGAGUGGCCUUCCGGGAGUCAAAAACACAAGGUGGUUGCAUUGGGUGGUGUCCACCUCCCCGGUCCCGUAAAAGAUGU